CCUACGGGCGGCAGCAGUGGGGAAUAUUGGACAAUGGGGGCAACCCUGAUCCAGCCAUGCCGCGUGUGUGAAGAAGGCCCUCGGGUUGUAAAGCACUUUCAGUGAGGAAGAACGCCUGGUGGUUAAUACCCAUCAGGAAAGACAUCACUCACAGAAGAAGCACCGGCUAACUCCGUGUCAGCAGCCGCGGUAAUACGGAGGGUGCGAGCGUUAAUCGGAAUUACUGGGCGUAAAGCGCGCGUAGGUGGCUUGAUAAGCCGGUUGUGAAAGCCCCGGGCUCAACCUGGGAACGGCAUCCGGAACUGUCAAGCUAGAGUGCAGGAGAGGAAGGUAGAAUUCCCGGUGUAGCGGUGAAAUGCGUAGAGAUCGGGAGGAAUACCAGUGGCGAAGGCGGCCUUCUGGACUGACACUGACACUGAGGUGCGAAAGCGUGGGUAGCAAACAGGAUUAGAUACCCGUGUAGUC
rnacentral:rRNA from 1 species